rfam:Cylindrobasidium torrendii FP15055 ss-10 unplaced genomic scaffold CYLTOscaffold_132, whole genome shotgun sequence.
GGGACAAUGGCGUAGUUGGUCAUCGCAUCCGUCUUACACCACGUUCUGUAGGCCACGGAAGGUCGCAGGUUCGAGCCCUGCUUGUCUCA